GACGAACGCUGGCGGCGUGCUUAACACAUGCAAGUCGAACGGCAACGCCCUGCUUUUGUGGGGUGCUCGAGUGGCGAACGGGUGAGUAACACGUGAGUAACCUGCCCUUGACUUUGGGAUAACUUCAGGAAACUGGGGCUACUCCAAGAUAGGAGCUGCUGCUGCAUGGUGGGGGUUGGAAAGUUUCGGCGGUUGGGGAUGGAUUAGCGGCUUAUCAGCUUGUUGGUGGGGUAGUGGCUUACCCAGGCUUUGACGGGUAGGCGGCCUGAGAGGGUGACCGGCCACAAUAGGACUGAGAGACGGCCCAGACUCCUACGGGAGGCAGCAGUGGGGAAUAUUGCACAAUGGGCGGAAGCCUGAUGCAGCAACGCCGCGUGCGGGAUGACGGCCUUCGGGUUGGAAACCGCUUCCGCCUGUGACGAAGCGUGAGUGACGGUAAUGGGUAAAGAAGCACCGGCUAACUACGUG
rnacentral:rRNA from 1 species